rnacentral:rRNA from 1 species
GAUGAACGCUAGCUACAGGCUUAACACAUGCAAGUCGAGGGGUAACGAGAGGAAAGCUUGCUUUCCUUGUCGACGACCGGCGCACGGGUGAGUAACGCGUAUCCAACCUGCCCCCAACUAGGGAAUAACCUUGCGAAAGUAAGACUAAUACCCUAUAAUUUCCUCAGAUGUCAUCUGACGAGGAAUAAAGAUUUAUCGGUUGUGGAUGGGGAUGCGUCUGAUUAGCUUGUUGGCGGGGUAAAGGCCCACCAAGGCAACGAUAAGUAGGGGUUCUGAGAGGAAGGUCCCGCACAUUGGAACUGAGACACGGUCCAAACUCCUACGGGAGGCAGCAGUGAGGAAUAUUGGUCAAUGGGCGGAAGCCUGAACCAGCCAAGUAGCGUGCAGGAUGACGGCCCUAUGGGUUGUAAACUGCUUUUAUACAGGAAUAAAGUUAGCCACGUGUGGUUAUUUGUAGGUACUGUAUGAAUAAGGACCGGCUAAUUCCGUGCCAGCCGCCGCAGUAA